rnacentral:rRNA from 1 species
UACGUAGGGUCCGAGCGUUGUCCGGAAUUACUGGGCGUAAAGAGCUCGUAGGUGGUUUGUCGCGUUGUCCGUGAAAACUCACAGCUCAACUGUGGGCGUGCGGGCGAUACGGGCAGACUGGAGUACUGCAGGGGAGACUGGAAUUCCUGGUGUAGCGGUGGAAUGCGCAGAUAUCAGGAGGAACACCGGUGGCGAAGGCGGGACUCUGGGCCGAUACUGACGCUGAGGAGCGAAAGCGUGGGGAGCAAACAGG